CAGCCUGGAUUUUUCUAGGUCAUAGCUUCGCCCUGCUACGAAGCGUGUGUGCUUGUACAAAGGCCGUUCAGCCUCGGGAUUUACACUCGGCUCGACACGGAUAUGUGAAGAAUGAAGGGACCCUGCAGCGAAACGGAGAGCUCAACAUCUGACUGAGUGCCUGUUUUCGCAGUCUGACCACCUGUUGAAGGGCUGUUUGAUGACGAUUUGGACUCCUCUGGGAGAUGAGGACACACCCACAUCUGUUCCAUACUGCAGCCAUGGAUGGUGUUACAGCUCUGAGUCAGCUUUGGGCCAUCAGACGCACACACUGGAAAACCAGCACCUUCAUGCAGGAGAGACGGCCUCAGUGAUUUAGAAUUCAUCAGCAGCUGUGAGGAGAUGCAUUUGAAUAUCUUCUGGUUCCACUUUUCCUUCCCAGAAAGCUGAGGAUGGCUAAUUCCUGACAAGGACACACACCUCAGCGCUUAUCAUGGGUGUUACAUCCUCCGUGCAGCAAUUCCAGAGAAAACGAGAGAGCAACGACCACUCAUUAAGACCAGCCAGAAAUCUGUCCCUUUCUGGCAGCUGUGGAAACUUCCAAUAAAAAAGUUUGCA